rnacentral:rRNA from 1 species
GACGUAGGAUGCAAGCGUUGUCCGGAAUUAUUGGGCGUAAAGAGUUCGUAGGCGGCAUAUCAAGUCCGACGUUAAAUCCCGAAGCUCAACUUCGGAUCGGCAUUGGAUACUGAUAAGCUUGAGUACAGAAGAGGCAAGGGGAAUUCCCAGUGUAGCGGUGAAAUGCGUAGAUAUUGGGAGGAACACCGGUGGCGUAAGCGCCUUGCUGGGCUGUAACUGACGCUGAGGAACGAAAGCCAGGGGAGCAAAUGGG